AACGCGAAGAACCUUACCAAGUCUUGACAUACUGUGAAGACACAAGAGAUUGUGUUGUUCUGACCUUUGGUUAGACACAGAUACAGGUGGUGCAUGGUUGUCGUCAGCUCGUGUCGUGAGAUGUUGGGUUAAGUCCCGCAACGAGCGCAACCCUUAUAUCUAGUUGCCAGCAGUAAGAUGGGGACUCUAGAUAGACUGCCAGUGAUAAACUGGAGGAAGGUGGGGAUGACGUCAAAUCAUCAUGCCCCUUAUGACUUGGGCUACACACGUGCUACAAUGGAUAGGAACAAAGAGAAGCGAGCUCGCGAGAGUAAGCAAACCUCACAAAACUAUUCUCAGUUCGGAUUGUAGUCUGCAACUCGACUACAUGAAGCUGGAAUCGCUAGUAAUCGCAGAUCAGCAACGCUGCGGUGAAUACGUUCCCGGGUCUUGUACACACCG
rnacentral:rRNA from 1 species